rnacentral:rRNA from 1 species
GACGAACGCUGGCGGCGUGCCUAAUACAUGCAAGUCGAGCGCAGGAAACUGACGGAACUCUUCGGAGGGAAGGCAGUGGAAUGAGCGGCGGACGGGUGAGUAACACGUAAGGAACCUGCCUCAAGGAUUGGGAUAACUCCGAGAAAUCGGAGCUAAUACCGGAUAGUUCAACGGACCGCAUGGUCCGCUGAUGAAAGGCGCUCCGGCGUCACCUUGAGAUGGCCUUGCGGUGCAUUAGCUAGUUGGUGGGGUAACGGCCCACCAAGGCGACGGAGCAUAGCCGACCUGGGAGGGUGAUCGGCCACACUGGGACUGAGACACGGCCCAGACUCCUACGGGAGGCAGCAGUAGGGAAUUUUCCACAAUGGACGAAAGUCUGAUGGAGCAACGCCGCGUGAGUGAUGAAGGUUUUCGGAUCGUAAAACUCUGUUGUAAGGGAAGAACACGUACGAGAGGUAAUGCUCGUACCUUGACGGUACCUUACGAGAAAGCCACGGCUAACUACGUGCCAGCAGCCGCAGUAACAC